rnacentral:rRNA from 1 species
UACGUAGGGUGCGAGCGUUAAUCGGAAUUACUGGGCGUAAAGCGUGCGCAGGCGGUUCUCCAAGUCCGUUGUGAAAGCCCCGGGCUCAACCUGGGAAUGGCAGUGGAAACUAGGGGACUGGAAUCUGGCAGAGGGGGGUGGAAUUCCCGGUGUAGCGGUGAAAUGCGUAGAGAUCGGGAGGAACAUCAGUGGCGAAGGCGGCCAUCUGGGACAACACUGACGCUGAAGUACGAAAGCGUGGGGAGCAAACAGG